UGGGGAAUAUUGCACAAUGGGCGAAAGCCUGAUGCAGCGACGCCGCGUGAGGGAUGACGGCCUUCGGGUUGUAAACCUCUUUCAGUAGGGACGAAGCGCAAGUGACGGUACCUGCAGAAGAAGCAUCGGCUAACUACGUGCCACCAGCCGCGGUAAUACGUAGGGUGCGAGCGUUGUCCGGAAUUACUGGGCGUAAAGAGCUCGUAGGCGGUUUGUCACGUCGUCUGUGAAAUCCUAGGGCUUAACCCUGGACGUGCAGGCGGUACGGGCUGGCUUGAGUACGAAAGGGGAGACUGGAAUUUCUGGUGUAGCGGUGGAAUGCACAGAUAUCAGGAAGAACACCGGUGGCGAAGGCAGGUCUCUGGGUAGUAACUGACGCUGAGUAGCGAAAGCAUGGGUAGCAAACAGG
rnacentral:rRNA from 1 species